rnacentral:rRNA from 1 species
AGGAAAGACAUCACUCGCAGAAGAAGCACCGGCUAACUCCGUGCCAGCAGCCGCGGUAAUACGGAGGGUGCAAGCGUUAAUCGGAAUUACUGGGCGUAAAGCGCGCGUAGGUGGCUUGAUAAGCCGGUUGUGAAAGCCCCGGGCUCAACCUGGGAACGGCAUCCGGAACUGUCAGGCUAGAGUGCAGGAGAGGAAGGUAGAAUUCCCGGUGUAGCGGUGAAAUGCGUAGAGAUCGGGAGGAAUACCAGUGGCGAAGGCGGCCUUCUGGACUGACACUGACACUGAGGUGCGAAAGCGUGGGUAGCAAACAGGAUUAGAUACCCUGGUAGUCCACGCCGUAAACGAUGUCGACCAGCCGUUGGGUGCCUAGAGCACUUUGUGGCGAAGUUAACGCGAUAAGUCGACCGCCUGGGGAGUACGGCCGCAAGGUUAAAACUCAAAUGAAUUGACGGGGGCCCGCACAAGCGGUGGAGCAUGUGGUUUAAUUCGAUGCAACGCGAAGAACCUUACCUACCCUUGACAUCUACAGAAGCCGGAAGAGAUUCUGGUGUGCCUUCGGGAACUGUAAGACAGGUGCUGCAUGGCUGUCGUCAGCUCGUGUUGUGAAAUGUUGGGUUAAGUCCCGUAACGAGCGCAACCCUUGUCCUUAUUUGCCAGCGAGUAAUGUCGGGAACUCUAAGGAGACUGCCGGUGACAAACCGGAGGAAGGUGGGGACGACGUCAAGUCAUCAUGGCCCUUACGGGUAGGGCUACACACGUGCUACAAUGGCCGGUACAAAGGGCUGCGAGCUCGCGAGAGUCAGCGAAUCCCUUAAAGCCGGUCUCAGUCCGGAUCGGAGUCUGCAACUCGACUCCGUGAAGUCGGAAUCGCUAGUAAUCGUGAAUCAGAAUGUCACGGUGAAUACGUUCCCGGGCCUUGUACACACCGCCCGUCACACCAUGGGAGUGGACUGCACCAGAAGUGGUUAGCCUAACGCAAGAGGGCGAUCACCACGGUGUGGUUCAUGACUGGGGUGAAGUCGUAACAAGGUAGCCGUAGGGGAACCUGCGGCUGGAUCACCUCCUUAAACGA